rnacentral:rRNA from 1 species
AUUGAACGCUGGCGGCAGGCUUAACACAUGCAAGUCGAACGGUAACAUAAAGAAGCUUGCUUCUUUGAUGACGAGUGGCGGACGGGUGAGUAAUGCUUGGGAAUCUAGCUUAUGGAGGGGGAUAACUACGGGAAACUGUAGCUAAUACCGCGUAAUAUCGAAAGAUUAAAGUGUGGGACCUUCGGGCCACAUGCCAUAGGAUGAGCCCAAGUGGGAUUAGGUAGUUGGUGAGGUAAAGGCUCACCAAGUCGACGAUCUCUAGCUGGUCUGAGAGGAUGACCAGCCACACUGGGACUGAGACACGGCCCAGACUCCUACGGGAGGCAGCAGUGGGGAAUAUUGCGCAAUGGGGGCAACCCUGACGCAGCCAUGCCGCGUGAAUGAAGAAGGCCUUCGGGUUGUAAAGUUCUUUCGGUAGCGAGGAAGGCAUUUAGUUUAAUAGACUAAGAUUGACGUAACUACA